rnacentral:piRNA from 1 species
UGAUUGGGACAUGACUUCAAAGGGAA